UACGUAGGGGGCGUAGCGUUGUCCGGAAUCAUUGGGCGUAAAGAGCGUGUAGGCGGUCCGGUAAGUCCGCUGUGAAAGUCGGGGGCUCAACCCUCGAAUGCCGGUGGAUACUGUCGGGCUAGAGUGCGGAAGAGGCGAGUGGAAUUCCUGGUGUAGCGGUGAAAUGCGCAGAUAUCGGGAGGAACACCAGUAGCGAAGGCGGCACUCUGGGCCGGUACUGACGCUGAGGAGCGAAAGCGUGGGGAGCAAACAGG
rnacentral:rRNA from 1 species